CUUCCCUUCUUCUCUAGGGAAAAAGUACUCAUUGCUUUUCUCUGCACUAGACAUUUCUAAUUUGUUCUGUCUGUCAGAACGGGACUAUGAGAGGUUUUGGUGCAAAUUCAUUAUCUCUGACAAUGCAUAACGUAUAGUAGGAACUGAAAAAGACCGUGGCAAUGGAUGAAGAACAAUAGAGCUUCAGUUCAUCAGCAACAAAAGCGUUGGGGAAAUUGGUUGAAUUUCAGAGCACGUCCUUCUCAGCAGAGAGGCUGGACUAGACCUUGGCCAAACCCCCAAAAUCUUGCAGAACCUCACAUACAACAGUUCACUUUCUACUCCAGGGUGUGGGCAAAAGUGUGGAAAAAGAAAAAAACAAUGGCAAAACCAAGCCAACUUUCUCCAUUUCUCCCCCGUUUUCAUGGAUGGAAGAUUUUAAACUAUUUUAGAGUCGUUUGAGCAAGAACAACACCAUGGAUUUAAGGGAUACUUUUAAAUAGAGAUGGAGAGGGGAAACACUUGAAUUUCUGGAGACCUGAAAGAGCUUUUUCUGUUCCUAGGGGCCUUGGCUGUGAGAAUCUUUGUUUGCCACCAGAGGCUCAGCUCACCACCCUACAUGUGGGGUAAAAAUCACUCCCUGAUAAAGGCGAAGAUAUAGUGUGGCUACUGACCCAUCUUCCUGAGGAGAAUGGCUGAGAUGUCUUUGAAAUUAUUCCUGGAAUUCGACCAGCAUGAGAUCUCUACCAAACUGAGGGGCGACUGCAGCUGGCUGUGACUGCUCUUGCGGAAGAGCUGGAGCCUGGAUGGUUAUAAUGUCUGUGGGUUCCACUGCUGCACCAUUACCCUCUUUGAGGCAAGGGGAGGAUUUCCCACCACCUGCUGAAGUUACAUCUCACCUAUUUCCUUCAGCAGAACCCCCACCCAAUCCGGGUAUAUAGAGAGGUUUUUCAGCGACUUCUGUGAGCCAGAAAGAAAUUUGGUAAGAGGAUCCAUGUUUACCCAUGAAAGAAUUUCCUACCAAUGUUGUUGACAUAGAAACCAAGAAAGAAGGGUAAAUAAGAGAAACCUGCAAUUGUCUAUUCCACUAAGCACUUUGUCUCUUCUGACCAGUGAGUAAAGUGUAAACUUAGGAGUUUUUUAAAGAAUGUAUAAAAAGCAUGCAUGCUGGAACAAAAACGGGUUUGAAGCCUUCUGAAAAUGGAGUAUUGCUUUAUAUUGUCUCCAUUUCAACUAUGACUGUCUCAACUACAACAAAUGGUGACGUCCAUAGUGAUGGGGGAGCAGCUGAGAAGGGCUGCCGGCAGCCGGAAGAGCUGCAACAGUUGGGCUGUGGGGUGAGGCACGGCCAGACGCAGGGCCCCAGUGUAGCUUUUGAGAGCAGCCGAAAGAUGUUGUCAGUCUGGAUGAAAUUGAUUUUGACACCUGGAAUGCAGGUAAGCCACUGGGAACAAUGGGGAGCUCCAGUAAAGUGUAAAGCAACAUGGGGAGCUGCUGUAGGUCCAGACUGAUCUUUCAUACUUUCAUGUAAUAAAAGUGAGCCACUGGGGAACAUAAUGAAGCAUCAGUUAAUAAGGGAAAAGUUUUGCUUCAAAGUUUUGCUGAAGAAGAAGGAUUUUCAAGCUUUUAAUCGUGCCCUUCAUGGUGUGUUGUUGUGGAAAAAUCAUGACUUUGAAACUGAUGCUAGUGUUGCCUUUAAUAUUAAGUGUCAGAAUAUGGAAGACAGAACAAGAAAUGGGAGUUAAUGGGGAACAGCAGAAAGAUGGGAUUCAGCUUGUGAAUGUGUUUUUCCCAGAGGAGUCUGAUGGAGUUUCUUUUGCGGGGAUUUUUCUGAGGUCUACUAUCAUGGGAGACAGGUGGUGCUCCUCGGUAUGUCUCUGAAGGACUGUAUUAAGCCUGUGUGGCUUUCUUUGACACAACAAUUAAUCAAACUGAAUGCUAAGUUAAAAUAUGUUACUUCUGCUGAAAUGCAUUCACAGUAGAGACAAACUGAAGAACAAGCUGAGAUGUUUGUCCCCCCACUCCCUGCCGAACUGAGCAGAAGAAUGAACUCAUUAAAUCUGUAAUUUGUCGUUGCCUGAAAAAUGCCGGUGAUAAGAUUUCCAGGAGGAUCCUCUACCCUUCCCUCUUCCCACCCUGCGACGAGCCGGCACCCAGGAGAGGGUGCUGCGGGUGUGAGGGAGAGACGCCACUGUUCAGGACCCCCUUGAACCCCUAGGACCUCUCCCCCAUCCUUAUUGCCCUUCCGCAGGCUGUGCAAAGGGGGCGGGAGCUGCAUCCCAAUGGAGGGGGCCAACUGUCUCAACUGUCUGCUGCAGUUGGAGGAAGUCCGUGGGGAGGGCUCAGAUCUCUCAAAAGUGUUGGGAGCUGCUCAGAGCUCUGUGUUGCUGCUCCACGUAGAACAACCUGGACCAAAGAGGUCUUUGAUCUACAGGGCUACCUCAAGUAUUUAGGACUCAAAAAGUGACAGAUCAAUGCCUGGAAAAGGAAUGCAUUAUUACAGCCAAGGGACAUUAUCCAGAUGCCACAAUUAUAACAGGUUUUAUUAACAUGGGAGGAGAUGUAGCUAGACCUUCACAACUUUUUUGGCCUCAACUAUAGCCUCUCAUUCAAGCAGGUUUUGGAAACAUGGAACUCAGUGGCUCUGCUACAGGAGGUCUGUCUGCCAUUGUGAUUAAUGUAAAAAAUGCUUAUGGCCAACAAGCUAACAUCAGGCCUUAUGUUUCCAAUGCCCCAUGUAACUUAUGGGGAUGAGAUUGUUUAUCCCAAUGGGGUGUUAAAAUUACUAUGGAUUUUUAGCAGGGACCACUGUGAUGCAAGCUUAAGAGUCCAGUUGUAACGUUGACGUGGUUAACAGGUAAACAUGUCUGGAUUGACCAGUAGCUGCUUCUUAUUGAAAAGCUUACUGCCCUGCAAGCAUUAGUAGCAGAACAUAUUGAAGAGUGAGCUGGACAUAUUGAAGAGUCAUUUAGUUCAUGGAAUCCCCCUGCUUUUGUGAUUAAAAAAAAAUCAGGAAAAUGGAAACUUUUGCAUGAUCUACAGCAAAUAAAUGCUGUAAUGGUUACAAUGGGAUCUUUACAACCAGGUCCUCUAACACCUACAAUGAUUCUACAGGGAUGGGAGAUAAUUAUCAUUGAUUUCAAAGAUUGCUUUUUUACCAUUCCAUUGGCUGAACAAGAUAAGGAAAAAUUUGCUUUUACCAUGCUGUGUUUAAAUCAUGCUGAAACUAAUAAAAAACAUCAAUGGAAAAUUCUAAUGGUUUGUGGCACAGGCCUUAUCAAAGGUGCAAGAGCAAUUUAGUAAUUACUAUUGCAAUCAUUAUGUGGAUGAUAUCUUGUUGGGUUCUGAUAAUAAACAACAGCUGUCAGAUCUUGAACAAUGUGCUGUAACAAAUUUGAAAACUUUUGGAUUUCAUUAUUGCCUCAGAGAAUGUAUGAAAAUAGAUGCCUUGGAAAUACUUGGGGUUGAUAAUAACAAAUACUUGGAUUAUGUCUCAACCUGUAAAAUUAGACAUUGAAGUUAAAACUGUUACUGAUGUAUAAAAAUUGGUUCAUGCAACAGCUUGGAUUAGGUCAUAUUUAGGAAUAAUUUAUUAUCAAAUGCAACCUUGGUUUGAAUUAUUGUCAGGGAUUACUUCUACUGAUGAGAGAUAUUUGAUUGAUGUAGUAAAAAAAAGGUAAAUGGUAAUGAAAAAAAAAAGGUAAUGAAAAAAGUUGAAUUAGCUUUGACCUGUACAAGUACCAGGACAAGUACUUCUGUUGGUGUGUUAUAAUUUAUUUUGAAAGAACAAAAAUAUAAUGUGGACUGUUGUGUCAAUAGAAUGAUAAUUGGGAAGAUAAAUUAUAUAUUUUAGAAUGGGUAUAUUUAUCUUUCAGGUCUCAAAAAACAGUUUCAGGACUAUGAGGUUUUUGCAGAUAUCAUUAUCAAGGUCAGAUGUUGUCAUAAAAUCUUAGGCCGUGAUCCUGUAAAUAUUGUGAUAUCUGUAUAAUAAUA